GAGCACGUAGGUGGGUUUGUAAGUCAGAUGUGAAAGCCUUCUGUUCAACGGAAGAAUUGCAUCUGAAACUGCGAGUCUUGAGUGUAGGAGGGGAGAAUGGAGCUUCUGGUGGAGCGGUGAAAUGCGUAGAUAUCAGAAGGAACGCCGGCGGCGAAAGCGAUUCUCUGGCCUAUUACUGACACUCAGUGUGCGAAAGCUAGGGGAGCAAACGGGAUUAGAUACCCCGGUAGUCCUAGCCGUAAACGAUGGGCACUAAGUAGAGGGG
rnacentral:rRNA from 2 species